UUUCUCUUUACAGGAAGUUGUAGAAGUUUUCAGACGUGUCGCUGCUGGAUGUGAGGAUGGGACCCACUUUGCUCUGUGAGCUGGGCCUAUUCUUGCUCUGUACGCUCCUCUGCACUGGACACGCUCAAGAUGCUGUGUUAACUAUUGAACCCAACUGCUGCAGUUUUUUCAUUGGAGAGUUUGUUACCUUCA